GAGGGAUCCGCGAUGUCCGUUGACAGCGGCUGCGGCUCGGCCGGUUCCGGGUUCGGCGCUGCGAGGGCGAUGUAAAUCUCGAUGGAACGACCCGAGGAAGGCGAGCGGCCGCCGCAGCGGCCGCCCUGGGGGCGGCUCCUCCGCCUGGGCGCGGAGGAGGGAGAGCCGCACGUUCUCCUGUGGAAACGCGAGUGGACCAUAGGCCGGAGGAGAGGUUGUGACCUUUCAUUCCCCAGCAAUAAACUGGUCUCUGGAGAUCAUUGUAAAAUUGUAGUCGAUGAAAAAUCUGGUCAGGUGAUGCUGGAAGAUACCAGCACUAAUGGAACAGUAAUUAACAAGCUGAAAAUUGUUAAGAAGCAGACUUGCCUUUUACAGACGGGGGAUGUCAUCUACUUGGUGUACAGGAAGAAUGAGCCAGAACAAAAUGUGGCAUACCUCUAUGAAUCUUUAAAUGAAAAGCAAAGCAUGACACAAGAUUCCCUUGAAGCUAAUAAAGAAAAUGUGUUCCACAUGACCAAAGAUACCUCAGGUGCAGGGUGCGGUGAUGAUCCCCAGGUCGCAUCAUUGUCGCCCACCACUCAGAUGUGCUUUGAGGAACCACAGCCAUCGACAUCGACGUCAGACCUCCUCCCCACGGCCUCUACCUCUACCAUGGAGCCUCGUGCAGUGCUAGAGCAUUGUUCCAGCUCUGACAGAACAGGAGCACCUUCCUCUUUGAUGGAAACUCGAGAUCAGGAGGAUUUGGAGCCUACUAAAAAGAAAAUGAAAAGAGACGGGGAGCUUGACUUGAACCUGCAGUUGUUGGUCGCAGAUCAGUGCAGAAACACCCAACCUGUUCUCGAGGACGUCAGAGCUGCAGCUGUAAAGCCAGACAAGAUGGAGGAGACGCUCACAUGUGUCAUCUGCCAGGAACUGCUGCAUGACUGUGUGAGCCUGCAGCCUUGUAUGCACACGUUCUGCGCAGCUUGCUACUCUGGCUGGAUGGAGCGCUCCUCACUCUGCCCUACCUGCCGCUGUCCGGUAGAGCGGAUCUGUAAAAACCAUAUCCUCAACAACCUCGUGGAAGCGUACCUCAUCCAGCACCCAGACAAGAGCCGCAGCGAAGAAGAUGUGCAAAGCAUGGAUGCCAGGAAUAAAAUUACUCAAGACAUGCUGCAGCCCAAAGUCAGGAGAUCUUUUUCUGAUGAAGAGGGGAGUUCAGAGGACCUGCUGGAGCUGUCCGAUGUUGACAGUGAGUCCUCAGACAUUAGCCAGCCAUACGUCGUGUGCCGGCAGUGUCCCGAGUACAGGAGGCAGGUGGCGCAGCCCCUUCCCUGCCCAGCACCCACUGGUGAGCCAGGUGCCCCACAGGCCCUGGGGGUUGUACCAUCCACAUCUGCCAGCCUUGUGACAGCAGGCCAGGAGUACGUGUGCCCACUACAGGGGAGCCAUGUCAUAUGCACCUGCUGCUUCCAGCCCAUGCCCGACCGGAGAGCCGAGCACCAGCAGGACCCCCGCGUCGCCCCUCAGCAGUGUGCAGUUUGCCUGCAGCCCUUCUGCCAACUGUACUGGGGCUGUACCCGGACUGGCUGCUUUGGCUGCCUGGCCCCGUUCUGUGAACUCAACCUGGGGGACAAGUGUCUGGAUGGGGUAUUGAACAACAACAACUAUGAAUCGGACAUCCUGAAGAAUUACCUGGCAACCAGGGGUUUGACGUGGAGAAACAUGUUGACGGAGAGCCUCAUGGCGCUUCAGCGGGGGGCAUUCCUGCUGUCUGCUGUUUCCAGCUCAUGGACAUGUCUUGUGUGUGGGUGCCAGGUGUCCUGUGCUGCAGCAGUGGCUGUUGGCUGCCCAGAUCUACUGGCCAGAUCACAGGGUCACUGGCAACACUGUGCUGUGCUACUGCUGUGGCCUGCGCAGCUUCCGAGAGCUGACCUACCAGUACCGGCAGAGCAUUCCUGCUUCAGAGCUGCCAGUGGCUGUGACAUCCCGUCCUGACUGCUAUUGGGGCCGUAACUGCCGCACUCAGGUGAAGGCUCACCACGCGAUGAAAUUCAAUCAUAUCUGUGAACAGACAAGAUUUAAGAACUAAGCGUCUGGAAGCUGCAGGAGCUGUGGAGUGUUGGAGGCAAUGAUGACCUGUUUUAAAAAUACCGAAUACAAACACAUUAGGGCAUUUGUAGAAUCCCCCUGAAGAAUGCUGGGGUCUCUGGUCAUGGACUCUAGUGUGACUUUUUCUUUGGUGGAGUUUUACUCUCCAAAUAAGAUCCUUCCAAGAGGCCUCAGGGGAGGCUGGGGCACAGCCUAUCCUCUUGGCCCUUGUUGGGCAGGGACUGGCCGUGGCUGACACUGCAGAGACCGAAGGCUUCCUGUGAACAGAAAGUCAUCCCCACCUGCUGAGAGGGGGGAUAGCACAGGUUUGCUCCUUUUGUAACUAGAGUUAAAACAGAAAUCUCUUUUCAGGAAAAGUUCUAAGGGAGAAAGGGGAAAAUUUAUCAAAAACAUUCUUUUUAAGGAAAAUGGAACAUAAGUUUACAGCCUACAGGAUGUACAGAAUAUUCUACUGUUGGGAAAACCACAGCAUUUUAUAUAUUUUUUAUUUUAGUAGAUUUGGUGCUUAUCUUCUAAUAAGAUUUAAAUAUCACAAACUGUAGCACAAAUAAUAUAAUUUAUAAUUUACAAAUUGACUAAAACUGGUUAUAGUAUGAUAUUUGAAAGAAUAAGCAUAUGUUUCUCUGUAAUAAAAAACAAUCUCCAACAUCCCAACUGCUAACCCUAGAUGUGGACAUGAAGUUAGCGGGUCCUUAAUACUCAGCGUGAGUAACCACUGUCCCUAGCACAGGGCUGGCCCCAGGUCCUGGCUGAAGUGGGAGGACGGAAGAUGAAGCGCAGGACGCACCACCCCUAGCAGCCUUCCCCACGGAGACCCCAGCAGAGUGUGAGAGGGAGCACACCUGGCCUUUAUUUCUGGGAUCCCUUUCCCGCAUUAGGUUUGCCAUGUCAUCUGGAAUAAUACUUGAAAUUUCGGUUUUUUUGUAGAAAACAAAAUUAUCUUUUGUUGAAAUCACCUGUUAAUGUUUGUUUGCAAUCUGGUGACUUUUUUGCUUCUUCUCAGGAAUACAAUUUUCAGCUGUUGUCUUGCUCUUGAUACACACUGAGAAGCAGCUCUCUGUGGAAGAAAGUCCUCUCUUUUGCAAUCUAAUAAACA